rnacentral:rRNA from 1 species
ACUCCUACGGGAGGCAGCAGUGGGGAAUCUUGGACAAUGGGGGCGAACCCUGAUCCAGCCAUGCCGCGUGAGUGAUGAAGGCCUUAGGUCGUAAAGCUCUUUCGCCUGUGAUGAUAAUGACAGUAGCAGGUAAAGAAACCCCGGCUAACUCCGUGCCAGCAGCCGCGGUAAUACGGAGGGGUUAGCGUUGUUCGGAAUUACUGGGGCGUAAAGCGCGCGUAGGCGGAUUAGUCAGUUAGAGGUGAAAUCCCAGGGCUCAACCCUGGAACUGCCUUUAAUACUGCUAGUCUUGAGUUCGAGAGAGGUGAGUGGAAUUCCGAGUGUAGAGGUGAAAUUCGUAGAUAUUCGGAGGAACACCAGUGGCGAAGGCGGCUCACUGGCUCGAUACUGACGCUGAGGUGCGAAAGUGUGGGGGAGCAAACAGGAUUAGAUACCCUGGUAGGAUAGCG